GUCAAGAAGACGUCUUCACUCGGCUGGCCCAAACUGAAGAGACCAGAGACAAGUUGAUGGCUGAGAAUGCUAAGCUAAAGGAGCAGCUAGAAGCUAGGCAAUGAACAAAACACACUUCUGAGGUCUCACCUGGGCCUGAUUCGUAAAAACACCAUAGCUUUUAUCCUGGAGCAGAUGGAUGCUCUCCACAUACAGAGAGACACAGAGGUGUAGCCAGGCCGGUCCUAGCCUACACCCACCCAAAUCCCUGAUCCACCCCCUGUGUUCACACAGUGAAUCAUUAGUGAUUAUAGACAUUCCAAAGCCUGUACACUACAUCUAUUUACCAGAGAGUGUGUGGCCAAGCAGCCGCAUGGACGAUCCUGAUUUUAUGUUAUAGUGAAGCUUAUAAUUGUAAUUUUUUGUUACGUGACGAAGAGGUGUGCUCACAAAUAUGACCGUACAGUUGAUGUUUAUUCUGGUCAGAACUCUAUUCCUUGGCUUAUUCAACAUUCCAGACAAAGCAAAAGAUUUUAUUGGCAAGGAGAGCUUUGACUGGAUGUAACAGAUCUGGACAUUUGAUAGCUGCAAAAACUGGGAGAGAAAGAUCUCCAUUGUUUCAAAGUGUGUUCUAAGUCAAACCAUGAUGUCUUUCAGAUGCAUUGUGAGUGUAAGGCAGAUUUCAUGUCCUGUGAUUCUAAAAUUCUUGGUAUUUUGUUCACAUUCUCCUAAUGGUAUCAGAUCUGACAAAACUGCAGCAUGUAUUGGAGGAUAGAGGAAAAGACUUGCUUGGACUGGUUCUCAGUUAUACAUCAUUAUACCCAUAAUCCUCAGGCGAUGAAUUAAGUGUUAUUUACCUCCUAAGCUACCAGUGUUGUGCCAUAAAUACAAUAUCUCUACCACCACAUUUAGUUCCCAAGUGUGGAUAGAACCCACUCAAAACUGGAGAUCUGAUAAACAAAAAGGAAAACAGACUGCAUUUUUAAUCCGAAUAUGUAUCUUAACCUUUUGGAUCUGUAUCGCCUCCUUACUUUGUGUUAUUUACCAGAGUGUGACAACCCUGGGAUCAAUUAAUAUAUUUUAUUUUUUUCUGUUAAUGAUAUGUUUGAAGGCCUUUAUAUACAAAAUCUUAUGAACAAUC
rnacentral:misc_RNA from 1 species